rnacentral:RNase_P_RNA from 1 species
GAGGAAAGUCCGGGCUCUAGUUAGAAUAAUAUAGCUAUAUAAAUAUAGUGUAGGUAACUACGAGGAAAGUGCCACAGAAAUAAACCUACUAUUUUUAAGGUAAGGGUGCAACGGUGCGGUAAAAGCGUACCAGAAAUAUUAUUAAAAUAUUUGCUAGGUAAACCCCAUAUUAGAGCAAGGUAGUUAGUAUUUAUAUUUUCUAUUAUUUUUAUUAUUUAUAAAAAAUACUAAUUAGAUAGUAUACCGCAUAAAGUAAACUUUAACUUUUUACUGAAGAUAAAUAAUUACCCUUUUUAUAUUUUUAUUUAAUAUAAUAUAUAAUUAAGAACAAAACCCGGCUUAU